AGUAGGGAAUUUAGACAAUGGGGGCAACCUGAUCUAGCCAUGCCGCGUGUGUGAUGAAGGCCCUAGGGUCGUAAAGCACUUUCGCCAGAGAUGAUAAUGACAGUAUCUGGUAAAGAAACCCCGGCUAACUCCGUGCCAGCAGCCGCGGUAAUACGGAGGGGGUUAGCGUUGUUCGGAAUUACUGGGCGUAAAGCGCACGUAGGCGGAUUAGUAAGUUAGAGGUGAAAUCCCAGGGCUCAACCCUGGAACUGCCUUUAAUACUGCUAGUCUUGAGUUCGAGAGAGGUAAGUGGAAUUCCGAGUGUAGAGGUGAAAUUCGUAGAUAUUCGGAGGAACACCAGUGGCGAAGGCGGCUUACUGGCUCGAUACUGACGCUGAGGUGCGAAAGUGUGGGGAGCAAACAGGAUUAGAUACCCUGGUAGUCCACACCGUAAACGAUGAAUGCCAGACGUCAGCAAGUAUACUUGUUGGUGUCACACCUAACGGAUUAAGCAUUCCGCCUGGGGAGUACGGUCGCAAGAUUAAACUCAAUGAAUUUGA
rnacentral:rRNA from 1 species